GGCUCGUUCUUCUAAUGGUUCAGGAUGUCAGGUUGUCAACCUGACGGCACGGGUUCAAUUCCCGUACGAGCCG
rnacentral:tRNA from 1 species